rnacentral:rRNA from 1 species
AGCCUGAUGCAGCGACGCCGCGUGAGGGAUGACGGCCUUCGGGUUGUAAACCUCUUUCAGCAGGGACGAAGCGAAAGUGACGGUACCUGCAGAAGAUGCACCGGCCAACUACGUGCCAGCAGCCGCGGUAAUACGUAGGGUGCAAGCGUUGUCCGGAAUUACUGGGCGUAAAGAGCUCGUAGGCGGUUUGUCGCGUCGUCUGUGAAAACUCGAGGCUCAACCUCGAGCUUGCAGGCGAUACGGGCAGACUUGAGUACUGCAGGGGAGACUGGAAUUCCUGGUGUAGCGGUGAAAUGCGCAGAUAUCAGGAGGAACACCGGUGGCGAAGGCGGGUCUCUGGGCAGUAACUGACGCUGAGGAGCGAAAGCGUGGGUAGCGAACAGGAUUAGAUACCCUGGUAGUCCACGCCGUAAACGGUGGGCGCUAGGUGUGGGUUUCCUUCCACGGGAUCCGUGCCGUAGCUAACGCAUUAAGCGCCCCGCCUGGGGAGUACGGCCGCAAGGCUAAAACUCAAAGGAAUUGACGGGGGCCCGCACAAGCGGCGGAGCAUGUGGAUUAAUUCGAUGCAACGCGAAGAACCUUACCUGGGUUUGACAUAUACCGGAAAGCCGUAGAGAUACGGCCCCCCUUGUGGUCGG